UACGGAGGGUGCGAGCGUUGUCCGGAAUCAUUGGGCGUAAAGCGCGCGUAGGCGGCCCUGUAAGUCCGCUGUGAAAGUCAAAGGCUCAACCUUUGAAAGCCGGUGGAUACUGCAGGGCUAGAGUCCGGAAGAGGCGAGUGGAAUUCCUGGUGUAGCGGUGGAAUGCGCAGAUAUCAGGAGGAACACCAAUAGCGAAAGGCAGCUCGCUGGGACGGUACUGACGCUAAGGCGCGAAAGCGUGGGGAGCGAACAGGA
rnacentral:rRNA from 1 species